rnacentral:rRNA from 1 species
AUUGAACGCUGGCGGCAGGCCUAACACAUGCAAGUCGAGCGAGCGGCGGACGGGUGAGUAAUGUAUGGGGACUGCCCGAUAGAGGGGGAUAACUACUGGAAACGGUAGCUAAUACCGCAUACUAUCGGAUAACCCAUAUGGGAUUAGCUAGUAGGGGAGGUAAUGGCUCACCUAGGCGACGAUCCCUAGCUGGUCUGAGAGGAUGAUCAGGAACACUGGGACGGAGACACGGCCCAGACUCGUACGGAGGGAGCAGUGGGGAAUAUUGCAAAAUGGGCGCAAGCCUGAUGCAGACAUGCCGCGUGUAUGAUGAAGGCCUUCGGGUGGUAAAGUACUUUUGGCAGAGAAGCGGUAUCUGAAGAAUAAGCACCGGCUAACUACGUGCCAGCAGCCGCGGUAAUUC